UCGGGUAUGGUGUAACGGCUAACAUUGCCGCCUCUCAUUGAGGUGGUCGCGGCAGCUCGGGGUUCGAUUCCCCGUACCCGAA
rnacentral:tRNA from 1 species